rnacentral:rRNA from 1 species
UACAGAGGCCCCGAGCGUUACCCGGAAUCACUGGGCGUAAAGCGUGUGUAGGUGGUCAUAUUAGUCGUUCGUUAAAACCCCCGGCUCAACUGGGGAGGUGCGGGCGAAACGGUAUGACUAGAGGGUGUGAGAGGUACAUGGAACUCAUGGUGUAGGGGUGAAAUCCGUUGAUAUCAUGGGGAACACCGAAAGCGAAGGCAAUGUACUGGCGCAUUCCUGACACUGAAACACGAAAGCGUGGGUAGCGAACGGG